rnacentral:rRNA from 1 species
CAGCCGCCGCGGUAAUACCGGCGGCCCGAGUGGCGGUCACUAUUAUUGGGCUUAAAGCGUCCGUAGCCGGGUUGGGAAGUCCUCCGGGAAAUCUGGCCGCUUAAAGGUCAGAAUGCCGGAGGAUACUCCCAGCCUAGGGGGCGGGGGAGGCCGAGGGGAUUCCCGGAGGAGGGGGGAAAUCCUAUAAUCCCGGGAGGACCACCUGUGGCGAAGGCGCUCGGCUGGGACGCGUCCGACGGUGAGGGACGAAGGCCAGGGGAGCAAACCGGAUUAGAUACCCGGGUAGUCCUGGCUGUAAACGAUGCGGACUUUGUGUCGGACAAGCUAUGAGCUUGUCCGGUGCCGGAGGGAAACCGUUAAGUCCGCCGCCUGGGGAGUACGGCCGCAAGGCUGAAACUUAAAGGAAUUGGCGGG